GCAUUGCACUGAUCGUCUUUUGGGUCAUCUUCGCCCUCCUGUGCAUCUGUGGCCUUGUGAUGUCCAAAUGCCAAGGACUACAGCAUGACCUCAGACCAGCGGAUCAUCAUACUCCUCAAAAUCCACCCUCCAAAGCUCCUCUAGAGAGCAUUUGGGUCACCUCCGUGGAUCCCCUACCAACCAUUCGUUGUUCUGAAUUCAACUGAGACUGAAACACGUCCUCCCUAUAGCCUCAGGCCUGAAGGCUUACUGUCCAGAUGAGAGGGACUCGCUAUAUGCAACCCUAUCACCCACCUCACACACAAACCUCUUGGAGGCAGCCAAAG
rnacentral:lncRNA from 1 species